UGUAUGUAUUCCACACACACCUAUAAACAUGCCUGUAUAUGUGUGUGUAUAUAUAGAGAGAGAGAGAGGAAGAGGCAUGUUUAUAGGUAUGUGUGUACUAGGUCUAGUUUCUAAAAAUAUGUUUACUGAAGGCAUUCCCUCAUUUUAAGUCCCCCGGCAUUUAUAUAAAUACAGUAACAUCCAAGAAAUAAGGCUUCCUAUUCUAGUGUAAAUGCUUAUCACCAUGGUAUCUUUUCAGUGCCUUCCAACAGUGCAUUAAGCAAUAGGACUAAUACGUCACAUACCGUUUGUUCUCUCCUCUCCCCAGCAGCAGAAUGGAUUCAGUGAAGUGUCUUGUUUCAGGAGGUUUUUAUUUUGUUUUUAUAUACAACUAACUGUUGAUACUUAUGUAUGUUAAAGAAGGCAAGCUCAAAAAUUGUAUGGUCUUGUAGUUAAAGCAGGUGAGGAGGUUUUUGAUAGUCCUCAGCUCCUGGGAGAACACCUUUUGCACACUCAAGACUUGUCCUUGAGCAAGUUCUGAUGAGCUUUUCACCAUUAUGGCAAGCUCCAUGGUGCCACAGAAGCAUAAUUGCUGACCAAAGCCGCCUUCUCAGCAGAUUCACAGAAGUUUAGGGCUGGAAGAGACCUCGUGAGAUCAUCGGGUCCAGUUCCCUUGCUCUGGGCAGAAAAGACUGCUGGGGUAAAAUAACCCCAGCAAGGUGUGCAUCCAGUCUCCUUUUGAAGAUCUCCAAGGUGUAAAUGGCUGUGUGAAGGCAAGAUAGGCAAAAUAAUCAAGGUUGUGGACCUGGAGAAACAGAACUAAAGAGGAACAGAACGAGGUUAUCCCAGGCCAAGCUGAGGGGUCGCUUACAAAAAUAACAGCUGGUUGUAGUGUCCAGCUCAUGAAGCCACUAUGACAUCUGUUCUAUGUGACAAAUGACUAACCUGAACUGCUGGUAGAGAUUCCUUCAAAACAGACCUGUGAUGUUAGAUUAAAAUAGAUAUUUUUACAGUGUUUUUUUUCUUUUGGCUGAUAUUAUGUUCCUGCUUCCUUUGUAAAUGAUUUCCACCUUCUGUCUUGGGGAGGAGAGAAGUUUUUGAACUCUGAAAAACCAAUGUGGAAUUUUUGUGGUAAAAUUGCCUUCCUAAAUUGGUAAAUUUAGGGUUCUGUGUAUGUCUGUGUUUAGGUUUCUCUCAGGAUGACAAUGAAGAUGCUCCAACUUUAUAGUCUCCUUGUUUAAUUUCCUAAUACUAGAAGAUGUUCAGGAUAAUCUUCAGUGAUGAAAAAUACAGAAAAUGAGUAAUCACAAUAGUUUUGUUUUGUUUUUGAGAGGGCCGACUAAACUGAUUGAACAUCACACUUUUCCAUACUAUAUAGUUAAUAUUAAAGACGCUUUUCUAUUAGGCCGAACAAUCUCUCUCUUUAAUCGAACUGCACCCCCAUACUUAAUUAAGGAGUAUCAAUUAUUUGCACCAAAAGCUUGUAAAGGAUAAGCACUAGUAAAGUUGCCAGAAACCUUGCUAAAACCAGUAUCCUUGCCAGUUACUAAGCUAAAUUACAGGAAAGUCAGAGAUGGAACUGAAAUGUGGGUUUUUCCUGCAUUCUUUCAGACAAUGUAAGGGCCAACCUAUACUAUUAAAAAGACUGCUAGCCUACAGGCCCAAGCACUGUUUCCAUAACAUGAUUAGAGAACCCUGUUUUCUUUGCUCAUAGGCAAUUUAUGAAAACACCUGUUAUAACAUGAGCAUCCCUAAUCAUGUCAGACACCCAUGUAGGUAGCGUGUUUUUUAAAAAUUAUAUAGUCAGAGCCUAAGGGGGAAGCCAGCAGACUUAUAAUGAAGCUGUUAGGGUUUCUUGUUUCCAGAGAGUAAAAUGAAGACAGUAACUAGCAUAGGGAGACAUGUAUGGAGUAUAAAUCUUUUUUCCAGGCCAGACUAAGUCCUGUUGGGUCAAUUUCACUUUUACUGAUACUUUUUCUAAUUUUGAUACAGCUGGGAAAACUGAGUACCAGAGAGCAAAAAUUACUCUGCUUAGUGUAAUAGAUACCACAGGCUUCAGUGCAAAAUGUUUAUCCCACUUUAAACAAUGCCACUCAAGUUUUCGUUAGUGAGUAACAACUAAAGGCGGAGACAAAAGUGCAGCUCCCAGGUCUAACUCAUGGCAAUUUACAGAAAUCGCCAUGAGUUAGACCAAUCCUCCUGAUGGUGGAGGGUGGAGGAUCAGCUUCAAUCUGGAGCCAAUCCAAGGAGAGAGGCUGCAUCUUGGGUUAUUUCAGCUCUGCUGGAGUGUGUGUGUGUGGGGGUGUAGAUUGCAGUCUCCACCCCCCCGCACGCCUUGAGGUGAGCAGUUCCAAUCCACUGCAUGCCCCCCCCCCCCACUCCUGCAGGACUGAGAAAGCAGGGAAGGGAGGUCCCUUCUGGGGUUUUCUCCCCCUCCUAUUCAGAGACAGCAGCUUGAGCUGGGCUGCUGUUGCAGCGUAGCAGACAGAAAUUAAUGAAGUCACUCUAUUUAGGAGAGGCUUCAUUUGAACUCUCAUACAAUGAGGGUUAAUUUGUUGCACAAAUCAGAGGGCUCUGCAGCAGUGGUCUUCUGUUUGGGCAUGGUUUUAGAGGGACUUCAAGGAGCCAGUCAUGAGACAAAUGUCAUUUCUUUCUGCGCCUUAAAUCCCAGGUUCAGGAAAGGUACAGUACUACACAAGUACAGACUUGAUGUCUUUAUUCAAGUGUCUUUUUCAUCAGUAAUAACUCCACUUCAAAAUAAUCACUUUAAAAAAAAAAAAAAUCACAUGGAUAAUUGCUAAAGUCCUGCUCCCUUAAAAAAAAAAAAAAAAAGCUUCCUUA